CCUACGGGUGGCAGCAGUAGGGAAUAUUGCUCAAUGGGGGAAACCCUGAAGCAGCAACGCCGCGUGGAGGACGAAGGUUUUCGGAUUGUAAACUCCUUUUGUUAGAGAAGAUAAUGACGGUAGCUAACGAAUAAGCACCGGCUAAAUCCGUGCCAGCAGCCGCGGUAAUACGGAGGGGGCAAGCGUUACUCGGAUUCACUGGGCGUAAAGAGAGCGUAGGCGGGAUAGCAAGUCAGAUGUGAAAUCCUAUGGCUUAACCAUAGAACUGCAUUUGAAACUGUUAUUGUAGAGUUUGGGAGAGGUAGGUGGAAUUCGUGGUGUAGGGGUAAAAUCCGUAGAGAUCACGAGGAAUACUCAUUGCGAAGGCGACCUGCUAGACCAUAACUGACGCUGAUGCGCGAAAGCGUGGGGAGCAAACAGGAUUAGAUACCCGUGUAGUC
rnacentral:rRNA from 1 species